rnacentral:rRNA from 1 species
GCAAGUCGAGCGGAAACGAUGCUAGUUUACUAGCAGGCGUCGAGCGGCGGACGGGUGAGUAAUGCUUGGGAAUAUGCCUAAAGGUGGGGGACAACAGUUGGAAACGACUGCUAAUACCGCAUAAUGUCUACGGACCAAAGGAGGGGAUCUUCGGACCUUUCGCCUAAAGAUUAGCCCAAGUGAGAUUAGCUAGUUGGUGGGGUAAAGGCUCACCAAGGCUGCGAUGGUUAGCUGGUUUGAGAGAAUGAUC